rnacentral:rRNA from 1 species
GUGAGGAAUAUUGGACAAUGGGCGCAAGCCUGAUCCAGCCAUGCCGCGUGCAGGAAGACGCAUCUAUGGUGUGUAAACUGCUUUUGUACGGGAAGAAACACUCCCUCGUGAGGGAGCUUGACGGUACCGUAAGAAUAAGGAUCGGCUAACUCCGUGCCAGCAGCCGCGGUAAUACGGAGGAUCCAAGCGUUAUCCGGAAUCAUUGGGUUUAAAGGGUCCGUAGGCGGGUUAAUAAGUCAGUGGUGAAAGCCCAUCGCUCAACGAUGGAACGGCCAUUGAUACUGUUAGACUUGAAUUACAAGGAAGUAACUAGAAUAUGUAGUGUAGCGGUGAAAUGCUUAGAUAUUACAUAGAAUACCAAUUGCGAAGGCAGGUUACUACUUGUGGAUUGACGCUGAUGGACGAAAGCGUGGGGAGCGAACAGGAUUAGAUACCCCAGUAGUCC